rnacentral:rRNA from 1 species
AUACGGAGGGGGCUAGCGUUGUUCGGAAUUACUGGGCGUAAAGCGCACGUAGGCGGCGCACGCAGUCAGAGGUGAAAGGCCUGGGCUCAACCCAGGAACUGCCUUUGAUACUGGUGUGCUAGAGUCCGGGAGAGGGUGGCGGAAUUCCCAGUGUAGAGGUGAAAUUCGUAGAUAUUGGGAAGAACACCAGUUGCGAAGGCGGCCACCUGGACCGGUACUGACGCUGAGGUGCGAAAGCGUGGGGAGCAAACAGGAUUAGAAACCCCAGUAGUCC